rnacentral:misc_RNA from 1 species
UGUUUCUUUCUUUGCUCUUUCUUUGGGGGUGUUCCGAUAGAUCAAAUGCUACUGACCUUCAGCAGAGAAGGGAAAAAGAGGGACUUUUAAGCAACAACCACCAAAAUUUGAGCAGAAGAGCUGAAUCAAGCCCAUGUUUCUUGUAUCUAGCCUUGUUGUGAGUUAAGAGAGCUUGAUCUUUGACAGGUUGUUUGAAGCAAUCUCUUGGGAUGAAGUUG